GAAGGAUCCAGGAUACCUGUUCUCCCAUUGCAACGCACGGGCAUUUUUGCGAGUAUAUAUAUAUAUAAUUUGACGAUGGGGUAUUCUAUUAGGCGAGGCUUGACGGUUCGGAGGUGACCAUCGUUAUCGACUACCCUCGCCUUUACCCAUUCUGCAUUGAUCGGCGCUCCAGGGACCGUGUCUCCUCAAGGGCGGCCCCCACAGAAGGCCGUCGUUCAAAACGGAAAGGGACCGGGAGUACCAUGGAGACUUCACAAUCUUCCAAGAGGAGUACGCGGCAAACGGUGGGAAAAACGCCCAAUUAGCCAAAUGCCCACUAAUCCGGUGCCGAACUCGCCGGUUAGGACGCAAGCAAAUGUCGUGCUAGUUUCGACUCCUCAAGAGGAUUUAGAUGACGUGUCGGUCACGAAUUCCGAAGUGGAGAGCGUGAUGAAUCGCCAUUGCUUGAAGGAAGCUAUGCGUGCUUCGGCAUUGUCCGAACAAGAAUUCACCACACUGAUUUCGACGGAUGCUUAUGUCCGAGCCGCUCGAGACGGCCUUGCCGGAGUUAUACAACUGUUCUUAACGAAAUAUAGGUAAAUUUUGACACACUUUUGCAUGGUUGUAUGCUAGUAGCCCCCGAGACUUGAAGCAGUUAGCCCAACUGAUUUAAGGGUCGUUAUAUCAUCAAGUACUCACGGAGAAAAAUAACACAUUGUCGAAGGAGCUUGAAGAAUGUUGGACCAAGCUAACUGUUGUUACCGCCGAAUUGGAAAAUUUGAAGAAUUUCAAGAAGGCACCUGAUGCGGUAAGAUCGACAGAACAGUUGGAGGAGAGGCUAAAGGCUGCUCAGGCGGACAAGCAACAUGCCGAAGGGCAAGGUGCUGCUGGUCAAUGUAUAUUAACACCGACUAUUGAUGAGAAGAACAAAUUACAAGAUGCAAACAUCAAGCAAGCCAAAGAGCUAAAGGACAUACGAGCCCAACUAUCAGAUGCCUUGAAGGAGAACAAGAAACUAAUAACGCGACAUAUUUAGCGGCCUGAAGGAGAAGUGUCCGGAUUUCAAGGCGACUUGCUGCAAGAGCUAUCCCAAGUGCACGAGCGCGCUUGGAAAGCCAUGAGGAACUUGGCUAAGGCUUUGUGGCAAUCUGAUUCUUCUCCAGAAAUUAUGGAGGAGCUUGUGAAUUUAAGGGAGCGUGACGCCGCUUUGAACUAUGGAAGGCAUCAGCAUGUCGAGAAGCUGCACGAGAAUCCUAGGCCAUGGUGAAAAUGUGGUAUACCGGACUUGAUCCAAAUCAUAUGGCCCGUGUCGGACCUUGGGGACCAGACGGACAAGAAAUUCCGGUUAGCUUGGUUUACGACCAAGUAAAGACAGCCGCCAAAUUUUCCCAACAUGACUAUAAACUAGACAGCCUUAUAGAUGGUAUAGAUAAAGAGUAGGCGUUUGAUUCCAUGUAACAAUGCACUUUAUCACCAAACUUAUCUCCGACCGAACUUGGAAACAUUGGCAUCGAAGACCUUCUGCUUCAACCUCCAAAACCCAAGGUUUGGAGUGUUUCUGAAUACUAUGCCUGUGGUAAA